UGGGGAAUAUUGCACAAUGGGCGCAAGCCUGAUGCAGCCAUGCCGCGUGUGUGAAGAAGGCCUUCGGGUUGUAAAGCACUUUCAGCGGGGAGGAAGGCGAUAAGGUUAAUAACCUUGUCGAUUGACGUUACCCGCAGAAGAAGCACCGGCUAACUCCGUGCCAGCAGCCGCGGUAAUACGGAGGGUGCAAGCGUUAAUCGGAAUUACUGGGCGUAAAGCGCACGCAGGCGGUUUGUCAAGUCGGAUGUGAAAUCCCCGGGCUCAACCUGGGAACUGCAUUCGAAACUGGCAGGCUAGAGUCUUGUAGAGGGGGGUAGAAUUCCAGGUGUAGCGGUGAAAUGCGUAGAGAUCUGGAGGAAUACCGGUGGCGAAGGCGGCCCCCUGGACAAAGACUGACGCUCAGGUGCGAAAGCGUGGGGAGCAAACAGG
rnacentral:rRNA from 1 species